rfam:Aedes albopictus isolate Foshan contig64781, whole genome shotgun sequence.
UAGUUUAGUGGUUAAGGCUAUGGAUCGCCAAUCCAGAGACGGCGGGUUCGAUUCCCGU